GAGAUUUUUUGUCCCUCUAAAUCAGUCAGCAGUCACUCUCACAAAUCCUAAGACCUUCGCUCAGUCAGAGCAGAUCAAAAGAUAACUCACAUUUCGAAAUACGGAAAGGAAAAAAAAAGACAGAGAAGAAAGGAUAAGUGAGAAAAGAAGAGAGCCAGAAGGGGGCAUACUGCUCUCUCUUUACACUGGCGAAUAAGGUGUUUUAAGCAUACCAUGCGUCUCCUUCCUUCUAUCGUCUUGCACACAAUUUUUUCUAAAAAAAAACCCAGCAACUGUUAUUUUUAGUUUUAUUUCUCAGGGAGAUUUUAAUUUUCAACUGCACAUCAUAAAAUAACCAUUGAAUAAAACAGUACUUAAAGGUCCAUUCAUUAAUGGGGCAAAAUGAAAGGUCUGGAAUCUGGCUCCUAGGAUGUAUCGAGACCCCCUUGAAGUUGGAAUGAAAAGUGUAAGUUUAGCCUCUCAGCUGUGUGUCUCAAUCCAUAAUCCUGCCCCAAAAACCCCAGCGGAGACCAGCCUGACACUCCCAUGACGUUCCUGACCAGUGAAGGCCUGGCCUGUGCAGAUUUAUGGAGUGCCUUACUCUCCUAUUUGGGCUGAGACUUUGAGUCAGACUGCUAGAAGUUGCACAAGAUUAAGAAGAAAAUUAGAUCUGGUCUUUUCUGGUCCAGCAAGCUCCAAGCUACUCAUCAUAAACCAUCAAUUAUGCUGGAGAUGUAUAAAGAAAAUUGAUAAGGUCGGAGUUGCUACGCAAACACAGAUGAAGCGCAUCACCUUUCGCCAGCACGGCACAGGUGGCUAUCACAAAUACAGCAAAAUCAGCCACCACUCUCAGGUGCGCAACGUCCAGGGUGGAGCCGACGCCAUGUCAUGCUUCCCUCUGUUUGGCACAAACAAGUCUGAAGCACAGAGGCUGAGCUAACACAGCCCAGUUGCAGUGAGACAUGGUUAAGAUUCACAGUUCCAUCACUACAACCAGCAUGUUCCCAGCUUACCGUCAAGCGGGUGUGAAUUUAUGCAAAUAUAUGCUUCCCGUCUAUCAUCUUUUAGCAAAUUUAAUGGCCCAAUUUCUUAAACAUUAUCCUUUAAAAGAUAUAUUAGCAGGUUUGAGUGUGGUAUAAUGUUGGAAAAAACUUUCACAAUGCCACGAGACGUGCUUCUCUGGUUUUCUUAAAGGAAUGUUUCGGGUCCACUAUAAGUUAGGCUCAGUCGACCGCUUUUUUGGUAGGAUUAGUGCAAAAUUUGUAUGCAAUUAUUCCUCAUUUUCUGUACAGAGAAAAAUUCAAAUUGUGUUACAAGUGAAGCAUUAGUACAACUGAAGUGAAUGGGGCCAAUAUGUAAACAUGAAAAAAUAUCCACUGCUUUAA
ensembl:lncRNA